AGAGUUUGAUCAUGGCUCAGAUUGAACGCUGGCGGCAGGCCUAACACAUGCAAGUCGAGCGGAUGAGGGGUGCUUGCACCCUGAUUCAGCGGCGGACGGGUGAGUAAUGCCUAGGAAUCUGCCCGAUAGUGGGGGACAACGUUUCGAAAGGAACGCUAAUACCGCAUACGUCCUACGGGAGAAAGCAGGGGACCUUCGGGCCUUGCGCUAUCGGAUGAGCCUAGGUCGGAUUAGCUAGUUGGUGAGGUAAUGGCUCACCAAGGCGACGAUCCGUAACUGGUCUGAGAGGAUGAUCAGUCACACUGGAACUGAGACACGGUCCAGACUCCUACGGGAGGCAGCAGUGGGGAAUAUUGGACAAUGGGCGAAAGCCUGAUCCAGCCAUGCCGCGUGUGUGAAGAAGGUCUUCGGAUUGUAAAGCACUUUAAGUUGGGAGGAAGGGCUGUAAGCUAACAUCUUGCAGUUUUGACGUUACCAACAGAAUAAGCACCGGCUAACUUCGUGCCAGCAGCCGCGGUAAUACGAAGGGUGCAAGCGUUAAUCGGAAUUACUGGGCGUAAAGCGCGCGUAGGUGGUUCAGCAAGUUGGAUGUGAAAGCCCCGGGCUCAACCUGGGAACUGCAUCCAAAACUACUGNGCUAGAGUAUGGUAGAGGGUGGUGGAAUUUCCUGUGUAGCGGUGAAAUGCGUAGAUAUAGGAAGGAACACCAGUGGCGAANGCGACCACCUGGACUAAUACUGACACUGAGGUGCG
rnacentral:rRNA from 1 species